rnacentral:rRNA from 1 species
GACAGAGGUGCCAAGCGUUAGGCGGAAUCACUGGGCUUAAAGCGUGUGUAGGCGGGUCCCUAAGUACCUUGUAAAAUCCCACGGCUUAACCGUGGAACUGCUCGGUAUACUGAGGAUCUUGAGCAACCUAGGGGCGAGUGGAACAAAUGGUGGAGCGGUGAAAUGCGUAGAUAUCAUUUGGAACGCCAAUGGUGAAAACAACUCGCUGGGGGUUUGCUGACGCUGAGACACGAAAGCCAGGGGAGCGAACGGG